rnacentral:rRNA from 1 species
AGACGGAGGGUGCAAGCGUUAAUCGGAAUUACUGGGCGUAAAGCGCUCGUAGGCGGCCUGUUAAGUCGGAUGUGAAAGCCCCGGGCUCAACCUGGGAACUGCAUUCGAAACUGGCAGGCUAGAGUAUAGUAGAGGCAAGUGGAAUUCCGGGUGUGGCGGUGAAAUGCGUAGAUAUCCGGAGGAACAUCAGUGGCGAAGGCGACUUGCUGGACUAAUACUGACGCUGAGGAGCGAAAGCGUGGGGAGCAAACGGGAUUAGAAACCCCAGUAGUCC